GCGCCACUGGCGCCACGGUCCCGCCUCACCUCGUCAGGCUCAUAACCUGAAGGUCGCAGGUUCAAAUCCUGCUCCCGCA
rnacentral:tRNA from 1 species